rnacentral:rRNA from 1 species
UACCGAGGUCUCAAGCGUUGUUCGGAUUCAUUGGGCGUAAAGGGUGCGUAGGUGGCGCGCUAAGUCAGGUGUGAAAUUUCGGAGCUUAACUCCGAAACUGCAUUUGAUACUGGCGUGCUUGAGGACUGGAGAGGAGACUGGAAUUCAUGGUGUAGCAGUGAAAUGCGUAGAGAUCAUGAGGAAGACCAGUGGCGAAGGCGGGUCUCUGGACAGUUCCUGACACUGAGGCACGAAGGCCAGGGGAGCAAACGGG